CCUACGGGUGGCAGCAGUGGGGAAUUUUGGACAAUGGGCGCAAGCCUGAUCCAGCUAUUCCGCGUGUGGGAUGACGGCCCUCGGGUUGUAAACCACUUUAGUAGAGAACGAAAAGGAGCUAUCGAAUAAAUAGCUCUGCUGACGGUACUCUAAGAAUAAGCACCGGCUAACUACGUGCCAGCAGCCGCGGUAAUACGUAGGGUGCGAGCGUUAAUCGGAAUUACUGGGCGUAAAGGGUGCGCAGGCGGUCUGUUAAGUCAGCGGUCAAAGCCCGGGGCUCAACCCCGGCCCGCCGUUGAAACUGGCAGUCUCGAGUUGGAGAGAAGUAUGCGGAAUGCGCGGUGUAGCGGUGAAAUGCAUAGAUAUCGCGCAGAACUCCGAUUGCGAAGGCAGCAUGCCGGCUCCACACUGACGCUGAGGCACGAAAGCGUGGGUAUCGAACAGGAUUAGAUACCCCAGUAGUC
rnacentral:rRNA from 1 species